rnacentral:tRNA from 1 species
GGAGGGUUCGCAUAGCGGCCAAUUGCACGAGUUUCGAAAACUCGAGGAGCAAUCCUACGCAGGUUCGAAUCCUGCACCCUCCG